GCCUUUAGGAAUCUCUAGCUCAGUUCGUAGAGCAUGAGACUCUUAACCCCAUGGUCGUCGGUUUGAGCCCCACGUUGGGCA